GUCCCUGUAGCGCAAUGGAUAGCGCGUUGGACUUCUACUUCAAUUCCAUGGGUUCGAAUUCCACCUGGGAUG